CCUACGGGAGGCAGCAGUAGGGAAUAUUGCUCAAUGGGGGAAACCCUGCAGCAGCAACGCCGCGUGGAGGAUGAAGGUUUUCGGAUUGUAAACUCCUUUUGUUAGAGAAGAUAAUGACGGUAUCUAACGAAUAAGCACCGGCUAACUCCGUGCCAGCAGCCGCGGUAAUACGGAGGGUGCAAGCGUUACUCGGAAUCACUGGGCGUAAAGAGCGCGUAGGCGGGAUAGCAAGUCAGAUGUGAAAUCCUAUGGCUUAACCAUAGAACUGCAUUUGAAACUGUUAUUCUAGAGUAUGGGAGAGGUAGGUGGAAUUCUUGGUGUAGGGGUAACAUCCGUAGAGAUCAAGAGGAAUACUCAUUGCGAAGGCGACCUGCUAGAACAUAACUGACGCUGAUGCGCGAAAGCGUGGGGAGCAAACAGGAUUAGAUACCCUUGUAGUC
rnacentral:rRNA from 1 species